rnacentral:rRNA from 1 species
GACGAACGCUGGCGGCGUGCCUAAUACAUGCAAGUAGAACGCACAGUUUAUACCGUAGCUUGCUACACCAUAGACUGUGAGUUGCGAACGGGUGAGUAACGCGUAGGUAACCUGCCUGGUAGCGGGGGAUAACUAUUGGAAACGAUAGCUAAUACCGCAUAAUAUUAAUUAUUGCAUGAUAAUUAAUUGAAAGGUGCAAUUGCACCACUACCAGAUGGACCUGCGUUGUAUUAGCUAGUAGGUGAGGUAACGGCUCACCUAGGCGACGAUACAUAGCCGACCUGAGAGGGUGAUCGGCCACACUGGGACUGAGACACGGCCCAGACUCCUACGGGAGGCAGCAGUAGGGAAUCUUCGGCAAUGGACGAAAGUCUGACCGAGCAACGCCGCGUGAGUGAAGAAGGUUUUCGGAUCGUAAAGCUCUGUUGUAAGAGAAGAACGGGUGUGAGAGUGGAAAGAUCACACUGUGACGGUAUCUUACCAGAAAGGGACGGCUAACUACGUG